rnacentral:rRNA from 1 species
UACGUAGGGGGCAAGCGUUGUCCGGAUUCAUUGGGCGUAAAGAGCGUGUAGGCGGCCAGGUAGGUCGGUUGUGAAAACUGGAGGCUCAACCUUCAGAGGUCGACCGAAACCAUCUGGCUAGAGUCCGGGAGAGGAGAGUGGAAUUCCCAGUGUAGCGGUGAAAUGCGUAGAUAUUGGGAGGAACACCAGUGGCGAAGGCGGCUCGCUGGACCGGUUCUGACGCUGAGGCGCGAAAGCGUGGGGAGCAAACGGG